rnacentral:lncRNA from 1 species
ACCCACCCCUGAAGCCUCAAUCAUGAGAAGCAUCCCAGAAUGAGACGUAUUCAGUUGCUCAAUCAAGAAGAAGCUGCCAGGCACAGUGGCUUGUGCCUGUAACCCCAGAACUUUGAGAGGCUGAGCGGGGUGGAUCACCCAAAGUCAGGAGUUCAAGACCAGCCUGGCCAACAUGGUGAAAUGCCGUCUCUACUAAAAAUACAAAAAUUCGCUGGGUGUGGUGGUGGGUGCUUGUAAUCCUAGCUACUCAGGAGGCUGAGACAGGAGAAUCCCUUGAACCCAGAGGCAGAGGUUACAGUGAGCCGAGAUCGUGCCACUGCCCUCCAGCCUGGGCAACAAAGAGUGAAACUCUUGUCUAAAAAAAAAAAGAAGAAGAAGAAGGAGAAGGAGAAGGAGCGGGAGAAGGAGAAGAAGAAGAAGAAGAAGAAGCCUCAGUGAAGUGCUCCAGCAUCUUCACCCCCUUGGUCACUUGCUCAUCUCCUUGAUGAACAAAAGCGGCCCCAGAUCAGAGCCAUCGAGCACCUGCAGCCAGCAAGGUUGGCUGGUUUUCAUUGUGUGCAUUUUUAAGGCGUCUUCUAUUUAUAGAAAGGAUUGUGGUCUUGCAUUUGUAGCAGCGAUGAAAGCUUUACUUUUUGGCAAAAUGUGUGCAAGUUGUUUAGAAG